UACGUAGGUCCCGAGCGUUAUCCGGAGUUACUGGGCGUAAAGCGUCUGUAGCCGGAUAUGUAAGUCUGUUUUCAAAUAUCACGACUUAAUCGUGGGAAGGGAACAGAUACUGCAUAUCUAGAGGAUUUUAGAGGUUAAUGGAAUUUCCGGUGGAGCGGUGAAAUGCGUUGAUAUCGGGAGGAAUGCCGAAAGUGAAAACAGUUAACUAUAAAAUAUCUGACGGUCAGAGACGAAAGCUUGGGUAGCAAACGGG
rnacentral:rRNA from 1 species